rnacentral:pre_miRNA from 1 species
CUCUCCCUCAAGGGCUUCUACCUUUGCCCAUUUAUUAAGGUCUAAUGGGGGGUGAAGCUCUUCAGGGGGGGGG